rnacentral:rRNA from 1 species
CCUACGGGAGGCAGCAGUAGGGAAUCUUCCACAAUGGACGAAAGUCUGAUGGAGCAACGCCGCGUGAGCGAUGAAGGCCUUCGGGUCGUAAAGCUCUGUUGUUAGGGAAGAAUAAGUACCGGAGUAACUGCCGGUACCUUGACGGUACCUAACCAGAAAGCCACGGCUAACUACGUGCCAGCAGCCGCGGUAAUACGUAGGUGGCAAGCGUUGUCCGGAAUUAUUGGGCGUAAAGCGCGCGCAGGCGGUCCUUUAAGUCUGAUGUGAAAGCCCACGGCUCAACCGUGGAGGGUCAUUGGAAACUGGGGGACUUGAGUGCAGAAGAGGAAAGCGGAAUUCCACGUGUAGCGGUGAAAUGCGUAGAGAUGUGGAGGAACACCAGUGGCGAAGGCGGCUUUCUGGUCUGUAACUGACGCUGAGGCGCGAAAGCGUGGGGAGCAAACAGGAUUAGAUACCCUGGUAGUCCACGCCGUAAACGAUGAGUGCUAAGUGUUAGGGGGUUUCCGCCCCUUAGUGCUGCAGCUAACGCAUUAAGCACUCCGCCUGGGGAGUACGGCCGCAAGGCUGAAACUCAAAGGAAUUGACGG